rnacentral:rRNA from 1 species
CAGUAGCCGCGGUAACACGAAGGGUGCAAGCGUUAAUCGGAAUUACUGGGCGUAAAGCGUGCGUAGGCGGUGAGUUAAGUCUGCUGUGAAAUCCCCGGGCUCAACCUGGGAAUGGCAGUGGAUACUGGCUCGCUAGAGUGUGUCAGAGGAUGGUGGAAUUCCCGGUGUAGCGGUGAAAUGCGUAGAGAUCGGGAGGAACAUCAGUGGCGAAGGCGGCCAUCUGGGACAACACUGACGCUGAGGCACGAAAGCGUGGGGAGCAAACAGGAUUAGAUACCCCCGUAGUCCCUGUCUCUUAUAA